rnacentral:lncRNA from 1 species
UUAAUACUUAUUUUCAGAUAUUCAGACAAAAAAAAAAGAACAUAUUAUUUAGAUUCAAAAUUUAGGUCUAUUAAAAUUUUAGAUCAACUUAGGUCUAUUCAUAUUUAAGAUAAAAAAAAAAAACAAAUACGGCCUAAGUUAAAUCAUGCAUGAAUAGAAUCCAAACUACCUUUCCACUUGACAAAAGUUAAUUAAAAAAAAAAAAAGUCUACAGGUGAGUAAGAGUUUUAAUGCGAUAUAUUCAAAUCUAUCAAGAAUAGUUCUUGGGCUAAGCAAACACCACUUCUUCUUCUUCUUUUCUUGUUUCUUUUCAAAACUAAUGAAAAUACUCUUAAAUACAAACGUUUCUAUUUUAUUUUUAACCUAAAUUUGAAAAGCAUGAAAACAUGUUAAAUAAGUAAAACUUUUCAAACUAAUUUCUUAAAUUUUAAACAAUUAUGUUCAAGUUUAGAUGGUCAAAGAAGAUAUGAUUCAAUUUGAUGUUCAAAUAAGUGUGUUAUCAUUAAUAGAUCAGUCAAUUUUAUUUACUCAAAUUUGAUUAUGAACCUUUUCAAGCCUAUAUCUAGUCACUUUCAAAAUUACCCAAAAUACGUAGGAAGCAAAAUACACAUGAAGUUGUUUACAAAAUUGGAGUGAAUGCAUGAAGCUAUAGUAAUGGAAUUUGUGUUGGUUUCAGGCUGAGUUUGGUGACCUGAACCUAUCAGCAAGAAGAAGCAUGAAGCAUGAAGUAUUAGCCGGCCAAAGCCCUAAGUCAAAGAAUGUAAAUGGGAAUCCAUGCAGAGUUCAAAUUUAGGUACAUGAAUGCAAACCCUAGCCCCAUUAAAUUAAUUAAAAAAUGUAUAUAUUAUUACUUUAUGUUCAAAGCUUUUGACUUAUGCAGUGAAGGAAAGAGAGGUUAAUGGGAAUACAAAUAAACUAAUUAAAUGGGCUAUCAACGUCAGACAAGCAGUAGGUAGCAUGACAAAUAUAAUGAGAUAAUUAGUUAUAUAAUCGUUAAUCAAUUAACAGUUUUUUUUUUUUUGUCAUUUAAAAAAAAAAAAAAGGUUCAUUGUUUUGGUUGAAUAAUUAUGUCAUCUUAUUAAGAAGCAAAAGAACGCAGAAGUGAGUGUCGUUCAUUUGUUUUGUGGAUAAUUAUAACUGUUGUAAAAUUGUCUUGUGUGGGGAAAUUUAAUUGUUAAAUUCUGAAAUCAAUUGUUUUAGAGUUGUAUUUAGAUGAUAAGCAUAAAAAUGAUGAGUUUUCCUCUAGAUCUUGUAAUUAGAGGUCGUACUCAUUCAAACUUGAAAUAAGUAGAACUACGAUAUAUGUUUGGCAAUGAUAUGAAAGUAAAGGGAAAUGUUUUAGAUAGUUUUUAAAAUUAGAGAGACAUAUUUACCUCAAAUCUAAAAAAACUAAAAGAGCAUCUAUCCUAAGUACAUGUUAAUCUCUAUUGAUUUAAUGAUAAUAAUCUAAUAGAUUAAUUUUGGCGUCUAUUCAGACUCAAUCAGCUAUAUACAUUUAUAGUCAACUUAAAAAUUUACAGAGUCCAGCCAAAAAAAUAUACUUCUAUUACAAAUUUUUGUGGAAAGGUUCGAGCUUUUGCCCUGUUAAACCCUAUUUUAUGUUUAAAACCUAUCAAAAACUCAAUUUUUGUUAAACAUUGCCCAAAGAUAAAAUCUAUUAAAAGCAUUGCAAAAAGUGCUUUUAAAAUCCCAAUAAUUAAAUUAUCUUUGGGCAAAUUAACUCGAAUAAAAAGACCCCAUAUGAAUCUGCAUGGCUGGUCUUGAACUGUCACUAUUAACAGAUGCCAUGGUUCACUGUAACACAACUCCACUCAAUCCUAAAUGAAAUGAGUCCUAGUACUUAGACAGUUAAGACACCUUGGAAUCAAUGAAUCUCCCUUAAAAAAUUAGCGUACAUUGAGCUCCAAUCAAACAAACAAAUAAUUAUUUAAUUAAUGAAACCAAUUAUAUUUCAUGGUACCCUAUUCAUCAGCAUUCAUCAGUUGGUCUUGAACUGUCAUACACGUGGCAGAUGUCAAUUGACUCUGCACUUCUUCGACAAAACAAGUCAAACAAUUUGUUAAUCAAACCAAAUAUGUCAUGCAAUAAAAUACACAUUUUCAAUGUUUUAAAUAAUGCAACAAACCGACAAAUCAGAAAUGCCGGUUUUAGGAGAUACUAAUAUAACUUUAUUAACCGACCUUUAUUUGCAAGCAAGCUCACAUCCUCAGACAAAUAUAAAAUUAAAAUUAAAAUAUCCCCAGUAGCUUGUCAUAAAUAAAAAUAAAAAUUGAGGAUUAAUUAGUAAGCUAAAGCUAAGGUAAGACAGUUAAGAUUCUGGCCGACUUUUCUUGGGUUUGAGAGAAUGACAGCCAACAUACAGAACGUAAAUAGUCGGCGCAGUUCAUUUGAAUCAAUAUUAUUAUUGGAAUUUGGAUUUUUAAGUUCAUUUUUUCGCACGAGAAUUUUAUAGAUUUGGUCAUCGAAUCUUCUUAAUAAUCUUAAGUUUAUUGUACUCUCUACUAGGCAAGCGGUUGACGAAUCAUUUAAGCAAAAAUUUUAACGUAUAGAUCCUAGCGCUACUAGCUUCAUCAACUUGCCAUUUUGUUGAGAGAUAUUUUAUACAAUUAUAAUUAAUUAUGCAAUUGUGGCAUUUCUAAUUCGGAAAUAUUAACGAACCUAUACCAAAAUAUUUUAUUAAACUCUCACAAUUAUUUCAUCGUAUGUGAUUCAAGCAUGAGGUCCUUUAUGAAGUCAAACAAUUUGAUUAGUUAACUUGAUUGUUUGCUUCUUCUUUGUUAAAACAUAAGUUCUUUAAAGAUGGUGUCUUUUUUUUUCUUUUUUCUUUUUAUCAAUAUAUUAGACAAUAAAAGAGUUCUUUAGAGUAGACACCUACGUUUUAAAUUGUAAAUUUGAGAUUUCGACAAUCACUUAAUGUUUAGUUAUGAUAUUAUCUUAAACUAUGUAAUUAAAUUACAAUAUGUAACUUCAAAUUUGUAUUUUGGAAUGAACAAACUUAUGCACUAAUAUUUUUUUCCACCGGAAUAUCUAAUAUCGUUUUGGAACCACAACAGGCAAGUUCUGUUUGAAAGAAACAUUUUGAUAGUACCGUCUAGCUUAGCUUCAAUAAAAUACUAAAUUAUUAGAUUUCAGAAUCUAUAUUUAUCGUAUUAAAUUAUAAUAAGUCAAAAAUAAAUUCUAAAAUUCAUAUUUUUAAAAUGUGUAAUGGAUGUCAAUGUGAAGAACACUUUCUUGAGUAAUAUAACGUUAUUUUUUUAAUCAAAACUAAUGCAUAUUUGAUUCACACAUUU